rnacentral:rRNA from 1 species
UUAUGCCCUUUUUCAUUUAUGGUUUUUAAUUCUGGUGUCUCAGGCGUAGGGGAACCACACCAAUCCAUCCCGAAUUUGGUGGUUAAACUCUACUGCGGUGACGAUACUGUAGGGGAAGCCCUGCGGAAAAAUAGCUCGAUGCCAGGAU